UAUACAUUACAGUAUAAGGUUUAGAACACAUCUCUACCUCUUCGGCGGAAAACAAAUCGCAGCUCUCUCUUUCUGGAUCAAUUAGUCGCUGAUGGCGAUCGCGAUUCCAUCUCCGAUUUGAAUCCGUUGAUUAAGAGAUUAAUGAUUAAGCUGAAAUUGUUCUAAAACUGAAUCUUGGAAUGCUGGACAUAGUGAAAUCUCAUAGAUUUCACAGCUUCAACUGAUUUGGAUACACAAUUACUCGGUCGCAGGCGGAUUUCUGGCCAGUGUGAAGUCCAGAGACUUAUUUACAUUACAUGUUUCAUGAUGAACAGUAAUAUUCCUACUUUGGAACAUAACAAUUUGAUGUGGACAAAGAAGUAUCAGUGAUUGGGAGGGAUUCUGUAUUGUGAUAUGGUGUGAUAGAUCAAUUUAGGCAGAACCAUGCUUGUGAUGUUGCCCCAAUAUGCUUAGUACUAGCUGAAGUUAGUCAUUUAAGUUAUUUUCUGUUGGUGGUGUUGAUAUAUGGAGAAUUUAGAAAGCUAGACAUGUUUUCAUAGAAAUGGAUCGGAAUGGUGUAGCUAGAAAAUGUUUAGCCGAAUCUAGAGAUUAAAGAGUUUCCAUGGUCUAGGAAGCUCCAAGGGAUGACAUUUUUUCUAUUAGAAGUGUCUAUUAUUGAGUUUGGUGAAUCCAAGGCAUGCAGAAAGGAGCUGUUAUUUAGAUGCCUGAGGCAUCUUACUUUUGCUAGUCUGAAGUUCCAUUUGAAGCACAAAUGGAGAUCUAGGCUAUUGCAACCAUUUGUUCACGGCUGUAUUAAAAGAGGGUGUAUUGUAAAUAAGAAGAAGCAACGAUUUAGUUUGAGCACAUUAUGGUAAUAUAAGAAUCAAAAACCAAUUCCAUCUU